rnacentral:rRNA from 1 species
ACUGGUGUUCGGGUUGUCAUGCCAAUGGCACUGCCCGGUAGCUAAAUGCGGAAGAGAUAAGUGCUGAAAGCAUCUAAGCACGAAACUUGCCCCGAGAUGAGUUCUCCCUGAGACUUAGAGUCUCCUGAAGGAACGUUGAAGACGACGACGUUGAUAGGCCGGGUGUGUAAGCGCAGCGAUGCGUUGAGCUAACCGGUACUAAUGAACCGUGAGGCUUAACCUUACAACGCCGAAGRUGUU